rnacentral:sRNA from 1 species
AGCGCCAUGGAUGGCGGAGGUUCUAUGCAGCAGCGAGAUUUGUGCCCAUGCACAAAUCUCGUCGAUGAAAACUGCACAUGGACGUGCAGUUUUCAUCAUGG